GUUUUAAUUUUUGUUUGUUUGGGCAUUGUGUAAGUAGGUGAGCUUUAAUACGGUCAUUCCUUGUAUUUUAUUUAGAUAAUGACUUGAACACAAUACCUGUGGACUCUGCAGACAAAUGAUACCAAUUAAACAGGGUUUGACAGGAGAAUAGUGACACAAGCUUCCUUUUAAGCAAGGUAUUUCGGAAGAGGGGGCAAGACCAUUUUUUUUAAAGGUAAAAACAUUGAGACUUGCUAGUGUUAAAUAAAACAUGGAUGU